rnacentral:rRNA from 1 species
GACGAACGCUGGCGGCGUGCCUAAUACAUGCAAGUAGAACGCUGAAGAGAGGAGCUUGCUCUUCUUGGAUGAGUUGCGAACGGGUGAGUAACGCGUAGGUAACCUGCCUUGUAGCGGGGGAUAACUAUUGGAAACGAUAGCUAAUACCGCAUAACAAUGGAUGACACAUGUCAUUUAUUUGAAAGGGGCAAUUGCUCCACUACAAGAUGGACCUGCGUUGUAUUGGCUAGUAGGUGAGGUAAUGGCUCACCUAGGCGACGAUACAUAGCCGACCUGAGAGGGUGAGCGGCCACACUGGGACUGAGACACGGCCCAGACUCCUACGGGAGGCAGCAGUAGGGAAUCUUCGGCAAUGGGGGCAACCCUGACCGAGCAACGCCGCGUGAGUGAAGAAGGUUUUCGGAUCGUAAAGCUCUGUUGUAAGUCAAGAACGGGUGUGAGAGUGGAAAGUUCACACUGUGACGGUAGCUUACCAGAAAGGGACGGCUAACUACGUG